GAGCCCAACCAGCAGUAAUGACUCCGUCCAUGUUCUGUUCUUCCCCACCCCCACAUCAGGGUCCCUGACUCAGCCUACUUUGCAUUAAUCCCAGGAGGAGACCAGUCGGUCUCAGUUCUGACAGUCUGAGUCAAUUCUAUUGUCUUAUGUGACCUGUGCAGGGAAGUUUAAAGUGGUUUGCUGAUCUUUGGUGCCAUUGCUAAUAGUAACAGGGAGCAGUAGAUGGCCCAGAAAACAACCUUCAUUUUCAAUGAAGAGACAUUCCAUGGUCUACCCUCGCAACGUAGAGAUACAUCACAUGGAAGAGCACAGGCCACUCUAGUUCAGAAUUUGUUGCUGUACUUGAUUUGGAUCACCAUUGCAUUGGCUUGGUUAAGCCACAUAGAUAAUAGCCCUGAGUAUGGAUUCUUGCCGUACCUGGCAAAACCUCAGGCUGCUCAGGAGUUAGGAAAAACACAUGAAUUUGUGUCAAUAAGAUUGAAAUAAGGUUGUGCCAGUCUGUGAGUUCACACAAGUAUAGGGAGGGCCAUGUUUGAUAUCUGCUGUUGAUGGCAUCGGCACAGCAGAAUAAUUCAGGACCAGCCGUGUCUAUAUGACUUUUUCUGUUAUUAUAGCCAUCCAUGCAGAUGACAGACCCAGGGUGGUCAGCAGGUCAGAUUGGCAGCCACAGCUGCUGCUAGACUCAGGUGGAUCAUAUAAUUGUUUUGGCUGGCUGAGGUGCUGGAUAUAGGGGAUCAAGAGAGCAGUAAUGACAUCUUAAUACCUCCUUAUGUUGACGGUGUUCCCUUUUCAGCUACUAGGUUGUUGGUCUCACCAUCCUUGCUUCUAAGGGGCAUUCUGGCUGUACUUCUUCCAAGACAGAUUUCUUUGUUCUUUUGGUAGCCCAUGGACUGCCGUCAAUAUACCAUGGCAGUGCAUGAGAGUUUUGUUGCAGGAUAAUAGCUGCUUUUCUUAAAAAAAAAAAAAGACCAUACUUUGUGGCCCUGUCAAGAAGGUGAUGCUGUUAUCUCUGAAAAUGGCCUCUCCAUGUGCAGCAGUUCCUGAGUAGGAAAACCCUCUGAUACUCAUGGAACUGGGAGGUGCAAACAUGUAACGUAGCACUUCUUAUUGCACAAUCAGAAGUGGAAGCUACAGCAACAGCACGUUGCGUAAGUCCGAAGGGCUCCUGGCACAAGGUCACUUUAGCUUCCCUUCCCCACUGAGAGACACCAGACCCCAUCAGUAAAUUUGGUGUCCUUUUCUUCUGUGGAAUCAGGUAGGGUGGUAACAUGGGCACCGGUAUCCAUCAGAGGCAUAAAAGUUUGAGUCCCUCCCUCACCCAUCAUACCAGGACCAGUGUGUAUGGCCCUCAGUCCCCUUGGAGGAAGAGAGACCUUGGGCCCACCCCUAAUCAUCUUUCUACUGGAGACAGCUGAGGUCAGGGUAGAGGGAAGAGGGGAUAUCAGGGAGUGUUGAGGGAGGGAGCAGCUCCAUGUCAGUAAGCAAGGCACAUUUACUUUUGGCUCCAGGUGCCUGCCCACUUGUGGCUCAAUCAAAUGAACUUUGGUUUAUGGCCCACCCAAUGACCUAUGCCAGGUCGCAAAGUCAUUUUUGGCACCAUUAUUGAAGCUCUGGGGACUCCUUGUGCCUGGACCCACACCCACAUUAUCUUUCUGCUAGCCGCAGGCCUUACCGCUCCACUGACCUGAUAACCUCCCUUCCUCCUCCCACAUAGAUGAGAGUGAGUGAGAAAUAACCAAGAUACUAUUUGUGCAGCUUGUUUCAAUCCUGCCUCUUCUCUCAGCCUCACUAGCAGGCAUGCCAGUGGGGACCCUUAUUUCCCUCCUCCCAUGCCCACCGCUUGGGCCAGAGCAUUCCCUACCGGUCCUAGGGAGUCCUUUCAUAUUCUUGGACGCAGUCUGUUUUCCUUCCUCUUCCAGAAAACUAUGUUUCUGUCAGUAUUCCUGCCUUUUCGCCAAAGCUUUUGGGCCUGGGAUUUGAUUUUUUCCUACUUAUAAGCUAAUGCUUCAGCCUGUUACUGUUUGAUGGAUGCUGGCAGAAGACAUGAGACUCCUGGGUCAGAGACAAAUGAUUUUAUUACCUCAUGGUGCCACAAGCAACAUGAGCAUCAGCAGUUGGUAUCAGCUGCCCUUGCCCCAAUUCCAUGGUCCAGAUAGAUGCUCUGUGCAUGGUGUGAGUUUACAUUGCAGGUGAAAACUCGGGGUUUGGGGAAUAAACUGCUUUUAAAAUAAGCAGGAAGCAAGCCUGCUCUUUAUUUGGGCGGGGAGUUUGCCUCACCUCUCAAGGUUGAUGUCUUAAUUAUCUAGUGCUGUGGUGGAAAUACCACAAGUAGAUGACUUUAACAAAGAGAAAUUUAUACUCUUACGGUCCAGUAGGCUAGAAGUCCAAAUUCAGGGUGCUGGCUCCAGGGGAAGGUUUUCUCUCUGUUAACUGUGGGGAAAGGUCCUUAUCAUCAGUCUUCCCUUGGUCUGGGAGCAUCUCAGCACAGAACCUCAGGUCCAAAGGAUGCACUCUGCUCCUGGCGCUGCAUUCUUGGUGGUAUGAGGUCCCCUGUCUCUCUGCUUGCUUCUCUCUUUUAUAUCCCAAAGAGAUUGCCACAGGAGACCAUCCAAUCUUGUAUAUCUCAACAACAUAACUGCCACUAAUCCAUCUCAUUUGAUCAUAGUGAUAGGAUUUAUAACACAUAGGGAAAUCACAUAAAAUGGUGGACAAUCACGUAAUACUGGGACUCAUGGCCCAGCCAAGUUGACAGAUACUUUUGGGGGACACGAUUCAAUCCAUGAUAGUUGGCAUCUGUAAGAAUAACCUGAGAAAUUGUCCAGGUAAAAAAGUGGUCAGGCCCUUGCAGUCUUGGCAUGCCUAGCAAGAUAUGUAGGAGCUCAAGAGGCCUGAGGAAGACUGCUGUCCCAACAGAACACGCCUUGUCUAGCUCUGUAUCAGAGCGACAGGCUGUGUUAUUUCUAAAGCUGCCCAGAAUGGGGGUUAGGCCAGUGGUUCAAACUGAAUAGCAAAGGCUAUUAGACUUUUUGGCCUUUGGGUUAGUGAAAUAAUAGAUCUUUCAAAGUGGGAGAAAAUUCUGUGUAGAAAAGAAAGAUGACAAUCAAUUUCAUGUUUCAUUUCUAUUUAGAAUCUGUGUCAUAAAAGUCCUUUUGGGUUCUGUUAUUAAGGGAUUCAGCUCUCCUCCCCAUUUACAAUUUAUUGAAAACGUAAAAUUGCCUUCCUCUGUUAUUUGCUUUUUUGUAGUACUUAGGAAAAUUUUAUAUUAACUUUAUAAUGAUAAUUAAAAUAGAGAUAUGGUUUCUACUUCUAUUAUCUUUCCUUGCAGACUCCUCUCAGUUUAUUUGCUGGCCUUAAUUGGAGCAUAAAAUCUGUAAGCUUCUAGCAUAGAUUUGUGUGUGGUUUCUCAUACUUAUUUUCUAAUAUUCUUCCCAUCAACAUUUAUUCCAUUUUCUUGGGUACAGCUGGAUUGAGUCACUAAGAAUACAAAGAAAUAAAUAUAGUGAUGAUGAUUCUUAGAGUUUCUAAAUAGCUUUAAAAUAUAUUGACAUAGAAAUCUGUAUCCAACAGAGCUAUAAAAGUGUGAGUCCCUCCCUUCCCUGUCUUACCAGGACAGAUACGUAUGGCCCUCGAUUUUCUUUGGGGGAAGGAGGACCUUGGAAUCACCCCUAAUCAUCUUUCUGCUGAGGGCAGCUGAGAUCAGAGUCUUAAUCUGAGCCCAUAACUACAUUCUGAAAAUUAAACUAAUGAUUUCUUUGGACUUUUUUUAAUAUUCAGAAAGGAAAUAUACUGCAAAAAAUAAUACUGUUUCAUUAAUAUUGCAGUAAAGUAGAAUACUUGUUACAGCCUCGAAAUCAAUCCAGUGAUAACCAGGCAGCCAUUUUUAUUUUAGUCCUUGGUGUGGAACAACCCUUCUAAAAAUGUAUGUCUUUUCUCCUGCCAUGGUAGAUACAGUAGAUUGAACAUAAUUGUAUAUAUAUUUGUUCAUAAAAUAUCUUUCAUUAUCUUAGAAUCAUAAUUACCAUUGAGCAAUAUUGCAAGUGUAAAAAGAAAAGUAGUUUACCUUGGAUGCCUAGUAACCCCAUAGCUUAACUUUUAGUUUCUGCUCAGUAAGCCUAUAUAUGUUGUUCAGCAAGCAUUAUAUAAAAGCGAGGCAGGUAGAGAUCUCUUUUCCCACAGUGGAUGCAUAUAAGGAUUACCUUGAUUUUGUCCCUAAGGUCAUCGUUUGCCUUUUGUUGGGGAAACCUCUGGCUUCCUGUUAGGAAGCUUUCUGUGACCACCCACUGGCUUCAUGGGAGAAAGACUUGGCAAUCUGUUCUUAUAAAGAUUACAGCUGAGAAAACCCCACGGGGCAGUUCUGGUCUGUCCUAUAGGGCCCUAUGAGUUGGAAUCCACUUGACGCACCCAACGACAACAUCAGAAGUUUAAUUUAGAAUUUAAUGAACUUUCCUUUAUUCACUCCAUAGCUGUUUUUCUUGUAGAAGUCCAUUUAUAGGUGGAAAAUAUCUUUGAAAUUCUUGAUCCAAGGGUAAAGUUACCUAGAUUAUUUUACUCUUCCCAGGGAUAGCAAAAUAAGUUGUUUUUUUUUUUUUUUCUCCCAAACAUCUUAAUCCCUCCGAGUAUGAUCAAUAGAUUAAUAUAACAUUUAGUUCUUAAAGUGGUCUUAAGAUGCCUUUUGCCAUUGGUGUGUGUGUGUGUGUGUGUGUAAUUCCCUACAGGUUUUGCAGAUAAAAAAGGUGAAACAGAUGAAAACGAUGUCUGAUAUUUACUGAGUGUUUAUGUUAUGUGUUCUAAUUGCUGUACCUGCGUUAGGUCAUUUAGUCCUCGUAGCCCUCCUGUGAAGCUGUCAUCUUCCCCACAUUACCUAGGAGAACACUGAGGCUCGGAGAGGGCACGUGGUGUGUUCAUGAGGAACUGAUGGAGCAAGGUUAUGAGGCCAGGUUGUGUGGCCCAGAAGCCCUUGCACUUGGAUAGUACAGCUGUCCAGGCAUUUGCACCGUGCUGCUUUCGUCAGUUCUCUUACCACGGCUCUCCUGCCUUUCCUGAUAGAACCCUCGCCGCCUCCUCCAAAAUCCAUUUAGAAACUAAAAUAGCAGAUGAAGCUAAAAAGUUUCUUUGACUUACAACAAUUUCCUCCCGAAUUAUCUUGUUGAAAGUAAAUAGCCCAUCUGGCUUCCUCUCCUCACAGGGCAAAGCUCCUGAGUGAGCUUUGUGGCUGAGGCUGGCCCAGUGCCAUGUGGUGGGGCUGUUGGCCCUGGGCAGGACGAGCACAAUCUGUUUCCUCGGCUCCUAAUGAAGGAAAAGAGUCCCUUCAUUUGCCUCUUUAAUUCAUGACUUGAAUUUUGUGUCCUCCUUUCACACAGUGGAAGCUUUCCUGCUGCAGCCUUUAAAAAAAAAAAAAGUGCAGGUAGAAUUGAAGCUACAUAAUAAACACAUUUGGUACAAGGGCACUAUAAUGAAAUAACAUUAAAAUUUACAUUUUCAGACUGUGGCAUGAGUUUGUUAGCUGUGUGACCCCACUGAUUAGCAGGGGCUGGAGGGAUUUUUUUUUUUUUUGGAGGGAUGGCUGAGGGAGCCCUGUUGCUGCUGCCCCAUUCUAUACCUUGUUCUGCGAAUAAAUAGAAGUGUUUAGUGCUCUGCUCCAGAAUCCACGGGAGUCACACAGCUAAGCUCUACCCAACCUGAGAGUUUACCUCUAAGUGCCUUAAUUUAGCUCUCUGGGUUUACUUCUGAGACACAGCGGGAACUCUCUUUCUAGCCCUGAUAAUUACCUUCCUACAGGGCUUACUGAGGGUUACAGAAUAGUGACUUAACAAAUGGAACCUGAAUUUCCCUGGCCAGGAAAAUAAUUUGAUUCUCGCCAUGUUGCAGAGCAGAUAAGAAUCUUUUAAACCUUACAAGCUGCUAAAUGUGUUAUUUUAAUUUCCAAUUUUCUUUUGGAACCAGAUUUCAAGAGUUCAUCAGACAACGUUUGAUGAUGUCUUUCCAGGACUGAAAACUGUUCUCCAAGUAUUGUUUUAAGGGAUUAGUUCAAAAAGGCCAGUUCUUUGCCUCAUGGAGGCCUGAACUUGCUCUCUGCAUAUCAGUUCAGAGAUAGGCACUUCUGGGUCUUAAUCUCGGGAAUGUCUCUUCUUACUAAAGCACCAUGAGGCCCCGCCUGAUGUAGGGUCCUGUCAUGGAAAGAUUGGGAUUUCCGGUCAAGGGUAUGUGUACUAGCCUGCAGUCUUAAAUUUGCACCUGUGAAAUUGUGAACAUAAAUGCUGUUGUGAUGUAGCUGUUUCUGAACAAGCGUCUCCCUGAGGGAGCCGGAGUCAGCAUCUCCCUGAGGAAGCCCGAGUCAGCAUCUCCCUGAGGGAGGCCGAGUGGAUCUUCAAGGCGCCUCUAGAAGGGAUGAGGAGAGAAGGGGAUGAAAGGGUGAAGAGAGGAGGGGAUGAAAGGGUGAGGAGAGGAGGGGUGAUUUCAGAAAUCUCCACCUCCAGCUGCUCCCCACGCCCCGCCACACACACAUAGCUCUGUUAUUGUACGUUCGGCAUAUUGGGCUGGCAAAUUCAACUUCCUGUGAACGGCCUCCAUUGUACAUACUUAACAAGUUGGAGGAACCAAUUUCUAGUAAUUGUUACUGAAGUCUCUUUUUAACAUUUUUGACUUAUUGUGCUAAAGAUAGCAAAUUAAAAAAAAAAAAGAGCAAAGGAACAUUACUUACAAAGUAGUAUGCCAAGUAGAUUUUUAUCUUUGAAACUCUACGAUUCUCAAUAUCUUUUUACUUUUCAGUAUAAAUCUCUAUACAACUGGAAAAUACAAUUAAGUUUUUUGAGUUAGUUUAAAAUUGAUUAACAAGAGUUAGUUUCAUGCAGAUUUUUGUAACAUAAAUAAGGAAUGAAGCCCUGGUGGUUAAGAACUCGGCUGCUUGCCAAGAGGCUGGCAGUUUGAAUCCACUAGCACCUCCUUAAAAACCCUGUGGGGCAGUUCUUCUCUGUCCUGUAGGGUCACUAGGAGUCAGAAUCGACUCGAUGGCAACAGAUUUUUGUUGUUGUUGUUUAAAUAAAGUAUAAAAAUCCUUUUUUUUACCAUUCUAGUAUAACCACCUUUGAGCACCUGCUCUAUGCUAGAUUCCACCAGACCAAUUCAUAUACAAUAACUCAUUUAAUAUUUUUCAAGAAAUAACUCCCAUCAUCCUUAGUUUGUAGAUGAGGUAAUCAAGGCUGUUUUUUUCUAUUCAGAAUGCAUUUUUAUUCAUUCACAAAUAUUUAUAAAGUAUUAUAACAUGGACUAAAAUUUCUUAACCGAUUGUGUUAAGAAGUCAUUUUUAUCUUGCCUGUUUGGAAAACAGUACAUUUCUCCUAAAAAAAUUCUAAAGGUCGAAACCCAUGACCAAACCCACUGCUGUCGAGUCAAUUCCGACUCACAGCAGCCCUGUAGGAUAGAGCGGAACCGCUCCAUAAAGCCUGUAAAUCUUUACGGAAGCAGACUGCCUGCCACACCUUUCUCAUGGAGUUCACACUGCCUGCCUUUCCGUUAGCAGCUCAGCACUUAACCACUGUGCCACCAGGGCUCCUUUUAGCAGAACAUUCCGAUUAACUGUGACCUACAGUUUAAAUACAACUAAUGACUCUAGAGUGGGCUAAGGCAUUCAUGCAUCUAAUUAUUUUAUAGGAAACCCAAGAAAGACUGAAGCAGAGUUUGAUAGCUGAUGAUCUAGAUUCAUUUUGGAUGUUCAGUCUUCUAAAGAGAUUGGGGAGAGAAGUGACAUGUUUGUACUUGGGGAGCAGUAUUGUAGGCAUGUUACUCAGGAGACAUUGGUACCCCGACAGACUGUGAUGACGAUUAAGGCAGUUGCCCCUCCUGGUGGACAUCCUGGCCCCACCCUCCUGUGUCCACCUGUGCCUGGCAGCACUGGGCCCCUUUUCACGGACGGAGGGCCUCCAGCUCUGGCUGCUGUGUUCCUCCUUCCGAGAGCUUAGGCUGUCUUGUUGCUCCUCAUACUUGGCCUCACUGUCUUCACUCUCAGAGUCUCUGCUUUUAAGGAGCUCUUUCCUUCUCCCCUCUGAUGUUAACUAAAGAGGCUAUGAGGUCAAAACUGUCCAGCCUCUCUGUCCCUUAUAACAGGUGCUUCAUUACAAAGCAACGUCCUCUCCCACCUUCCUCCCAGCACUGCCUGUGGCUUCCAGAGAGAAGGACCACGUCUGUGUUGUACACCGCCGUAGUCAACUUGUAGGACACUGGCUGGCACUUUGUCAGCACUCAGAUGUGUUGAAUUAAUGAAGGAUAACUAAACACAAUCUAACACCUCCACAUCUUACUGACGGCUAAAAUCAGUGCAGCCCUCUAAAGAUAACCUAAAUGGGAAAAUACUUGCCAGCCAUGUUGUAUAUAGACUCUGUGUUCCACUUGGUUUAAUUCACAAUCAUGCUGGACUCUACCAUCUAUGAGAUAGUGGGAAUGUUAUGCUCUGUAUGCGUAGCCUUCCUCAUCUGCAAGUGGGGAUACUAUUACCUACCUCUUAGGAGGUCAUGAGGAUUAAAUACAAAGCCCAAUAUCUUAUACUUAAGAUAGCCAGUUGUAUGUGAAAGGCUUGGAAAAAUAAAGUGUAAAUUAGCCAGCCUGUAUUACAUUCCAUCUGCAUAGCUAUAGUGCUAUGAAUCCGUGCAUUUCUCUCUAUUUCUGGUAUUUAGAAAUGUAAUUCUGUUUUGAUUUUAUUCACAGGAUUUAAAACACAGAAUUGAGUAAUGUGGUUACAUGUUAAUUCCCAUGAAUUAGAGAUAAGAGAUGAAUAUAAUGUAAAGGUCGACAUGGUAAAUAUAAUACUGUUUUAAAUAUCUUAUAUGUACUGAAAGUGUUUUAUUUAAAUUAAAAACAUGGAGAUUAUGCCAUUGUUUCGUAGUUACCUUUCAUUAGAAUUCUCAAAGGUAAGGGUCAGAAACAUACUCUGUACUGCUUUUUUAAAUCAAUAGCUUAUUAUUUUUUUUUCCUUUUAAGUAACGGAUCCAACACUAACAUUUGUUUUGAUGCAACUUUAUGGAAAGGUUGACUGUUUCUUAGUAGAAAAUACAAUGUAAAAUAAGACUUUUCUAGUAAUCCAAUACCUUGAAUUCUUUUGAAACCUGUGGCAUAAUCUUAAGUAGAUAUUUCAAAUAUUAUAUGAAAAUUGAUUCAUUUAAUUUUUACCUAAAGAAUUAAAAAAAAAAUGGCUUUUGGUAUGUUUUUAUGGUUAAGUCAACCCUCUUGGAUAUCAGUGAACAAUGUACGUGUACUGAAGCCUUUCUCCGAUACUGGUUCAUUAGGAAUGCUGAUUUAAGGAGUUAAACAUCUCUCACCUGUCAACACUGAGAUAAUUAUGCAUUAUUAAUUCUCGUGUCAUUUCAAAAAGUGCUAUUUUAAAACUAUUCAUUUUGUCAGUCCUUGGAACUAGGAUCAGGGAGACAGCCUGCUGUAAACCAAUUUAAGAUGUGAUUACAUUGCUUUAUUCCUGCAAUGCAUGAACCGGAAAGUUGGUUUAUCCUGAAUACAGCUUUUGAAAUGUCUCUUACUUCGUUUUAAGAGGUGAAUAUGAUUAUGCAACCUUGGGAGGACAAAAGAGUUGAUGUAGAAGAAAGGAACUUUAAUUCAUUCUGCCAUUUGCAAAAUCCAGGUGGUGGGUGGGGAGGGCUGAGGUGGAAGAUCAGGAAAUGAUAGUUUUCUUUGUCCAUUUUAUCUAAACUGAACUUUUAUGUGUAUCUACUCUCUGCAUAUUAUUAACUGAGAUUUAGGGCUAUUUAAACUUCUUUAGAAUGGCCACCUAUGGAGGAACUAGCAAUAUGAAUUUUUCAAGAUAGAGGAUUUUUGUUGCUUAAUGACUUAAAAUGGCUUUUAAGGAACAGUUUUAAAUAAACCAGAGAAUCAAAUGCAUUUUGGCAGAUAUUUGGAAACACUGAUUUGAACAUUCUGCCAAGUUUGUGGUACUUGAAGUUCACUAAUAUACUGACUUUGUAUAAAUUUUAAUGUAUAAAAUUUUGGUUCUUCAAACUACUUUUACUAAUUUUCUUAACCUUAUAGGACAAUUGUCAAUAUAGCUGUCAACUCUUGUUUCAAAGACACAUCAAAUUAUAAGAGAUAUUUAGUUUUAGGAAGACAUUUUAAUAUGGUUUGAUUUCUAAGCACUUUGUUUAAUAGAAGAUGCAUGAAAGCUGUUUAUAAAUGCAGCUAGUCCCCAAAUGCAGUCAUGAAUUUUUGUUGGUUUUAUUUUGUGGUGUGUGUGUGUAUGUGUGUGUGUGUGUGGAAAUAAAGAAGAAAAGAGGCAGGAAUUUUUCUUUAAAAGCUAUAGUUUUGCUAACCCGAAAGGUCAGUGAUGCUGUUAUAACUGACAUGUUUAAUGUUGAAUCUACUUGUUCAUUGACCUACAAAAAGACAUUCUUGCUUAUUGGCCCAUGACUUUGCAGGCUGUCAUAUUAAAUUUUCUCUAGCCCUAGGUAAACUGGCACAACAGGCAUGCUGAACUUUGUACAUGCGGUUUGUUUUUGUCACAUAUAAAAUAAUUAAUAUUUGACGUAAGCCACUGUUGUGGUAGGGUUAAUUCAAGUGCUGAGCCAUUGAGCCAAACUGUUUGUGGAUGUAACCCCAACUAAAAAAUCAAUUUUAAAUUACUUAGAACUUUCAUUUGUGGUUCUAUCAAGAUUCUGAUAAAUGUCCAUUUCCAUUCUUAAUUCUUACCAAACUGUGUAACAGUUAAAUAAACAUUAUGGUAAGGUAUUUUAUGGAAGUUCCUUAUUGUAUUAUUUCAUUUAGGCAUUGCUUUUCAAGUCAAACUAGUAGCCAUUUUCUUGUUCAUUACAAGUAUAAUUAUACUGGACUUUUAUUUUCUUGACAAUUGUCGGGAAAAGUUCAGCUUUGUUUUGCAUAUUUCGAUUGAUAAGAGUCCUCAGGUUUUCAUGAUCAACAUCACAGACUCUUUUAUUCAUCAAGUUUUUGUUGAUCUCUGAGGAAGCCCACAGCCCAGCCUUUACAAAGCCAAUACAAUUUUAGACACAGAUCCUGCUGUCUAGGAGCUCAUAUUUUAUUUAGGGAAACAAGACGUAUGUACAUAAAACGAUAGAUAGCGAAGCACAUCAUGAGGCAUUUAGCAAAGGAAAACCAGCACAGACUGGAGUGAUUGUUCACUCAUCAAAUAGAUGAGACUUGAAUUGAACCUUGAAGGCUGUAAAUAUUGUUUCAAAGUGGGAGGAACGGGAAGGAUGGGAGUGAAGGGUGUGUGGUUGGUAGGAACAUAUGAGGUUGAAGGAUGGUUAGGGAAUGGGACAUUCUGAAGUAGAGCUUUGUAACAGUAUCAAAUUUGGGUUUCAGAAAGACAGACAGGCCAGAAGGCAGGAAUGGAAAGAUAUUAACAUUUGUUUAAAUGCUUUACUUGAAUUACCUUACUUAAUUCUCAAAAUGUAGUUUGACAUUGUGAUGCGAAUUUUACAGGCAAAGAAACUGAAUCUUAGAGUCUUGCUGAAGGCUAGGAACUAAGAAGUGGGUAGAGAUGAGGUGUGGAUAUUCACAUCUUUGUGUUAUCAAAGUCUGCCAUUUCACCUGGACGCACUACCAGGGCAGAGCAGGGAUGGUCCCACUCUUCGUGCAAAUUGAACAUGCUUGAAACAUAACUCCUUAACUCCGUUUUCUGCUAGCCAAUCCAAUUUUUUCCAACUUUGUUUCUAUCAAUGGCUUCAUCAUUCUUCCAAUCCCUCAAACAUAAGACAUUGGGGUCAUUUUUUACACUUGAAAUCAGCUUUUAUUUCAUAUAUUCUUGAAUGAAACAUAUAAGAAGAGAUGGACAAAGAAGGCAUCAUACAUUAAAACUCUUGUUCUUUGCUGUCUGUCACUCGAUAAAGCCCAUCUCCAGUGUAUUAAGUAUACUAACCAUGCGCCACAACUUGUGUUAUUGUUAGUUGCUGUUGACUUGGCCCCAACUCAUGGCAACCGUCUGUAUAACAGAAUGAAACGUUGCCUGGUCCUGCACCACCUUCAUGAUCUGUGAUGUGUUUGAGCCUAUUGUUGGGGCUGUCAUGUCAAUCUGUCUCAUCGAGAGUCUCCAUUGUCUUCACUGACCCUCUGCUUUACCUCUUUUUUUUUAGCGAUUGGUCUUUCCUAAUGACCUGUCCAAAGUAAGCAAGAUUAAAUCUUGCUAUUCUCUCUUCCAAGGAUGUAACCUAUUCAGGGUUUCAGCAUAAUAUCUAAAGGAGUCAAAAUUCACUUAAUCUUCGCCUUGUAUACUGGGCUAUAUGAAAACGUUGAAGAUUUUUAUUAUUGAAAACUCAAAGUGACACAGAAGUAGAGAAGAGAGUGUAAAGAACUCUUCGUACCAACCAUCCUGAUUUAACAGCUGCCCUCUAAUAGCUGACCACUUCCAUCUGUACCGUCACUUGCUCUCCUCCCACCUCCCCAGCAACUAGACUGUUGGGAAGCAGAUAUUUGCAUUCUGAACUGAAUAAGUAAACUGUGGAAAACAUGAAGCAGUAGAACAUAUUUGAAUACUAGUGAAUAUUUGAUGGGACCGUUAUCCAGAUUAAGAAGUUCCUGGGCGGUGCCAACAGUUAUUAAGCUGCUCAGCCGCUAACCUGAAGGUUGGAAGUUCAAGUCCAGUAAAGGGUGCUUCUGAAGAAAGGCCUGUGAUCCACUUUCCAAAAAAUCAGCCACUAAAAAUCCUAUGGAGCACAGUUCUGCUCGGACACACGUGGGUCACCAUGAGUCGGAAUCAACUUGAUGGCAACUGUUUUGUAUUUUUUUUUAAUCCAGAUUAAUGUUGAAAUAAUUAGUUUCAAGUUAGUCGUUUGAUACUGAUUCCCACUGUGGAGUUGUCACAUGGUGAAAUACUUGUGAAAUAUCACACGAGUCAUUGUUUCAGUGCCACUACCAUGUACAAAUGCCUUCACUAAGACUACACGUUAUAGAGCAUUGAGGCUAAGAAAUUGAUCACGUUGAAGUCAUCAGGUUCCGAGUUAGAAAAGUAGAAAUGGAACCAUGUUGAUAGUCUCCUUUUCUCCACUUACCGUACACCCUGGACCUCACCCUCAUGAACCUUACAUUCUAGGGUCUGACAGUAAUCAGGACUGAAGAAUGAUCACCUUAAUGGUUUUUGUUAGCUGCCAUAGAGUGUUCUCCGAAUAACAGAACAAACUACUACCCAGACCUACACCGUCUUCACGAUCCUUGGUAUGUGUGAGCCCUCCGUUGUGGCUGCUGUGUGAGUCCAUCUCAUUGAGGGUUUCCCUCAUUUUUACUGACCCUCUGCUUUCCCAAACAUAAUAUCUUUUUCUAGUGAUUGGGAUUACCUUGAUUAAGAUGCAUUCAUUUAUACCCUGCUUAUUAGGAGCUGUGAUAAUUCCCUCUAGACUGGGCUGGCACACAGUAGGUUUUCAAUAAGUGCUUUCUGAAGAAUGAAUGAGUGAGUGAGGGUAAGAGUGCAUGAAUGAAUGAAUAAACUUUUGCAUCCAGACUCCCCGGACUAGCAGGCUUUGCAUUUCACUCCUUGUCUCUCCCUUCUCGGCCUGGUUUUAUGUCACGUGCUCCUGUUCCUCUGAGCCUGACUUUGUGCUAGCAUAUUUCAUAAAUGAAUUCAUGGUCACACAUAGGAAGCUUUCAGUUACCAUCCUUCCCAGCUGACAUAUGCAAUUAAAUAUGGGCUUUAGGGAAACAAAGCUUUAACCCAAAGAAGGACUCUUGAUAGGAGACAUUUGACCUGGGCUGAGAGUGGGGUGUGUGUUGCAUAAUACAACUUUUGCAUUUCCUCCAAUCACCCCACAUUUGUGUAUCUGCCAGGUGGUUCCUAGUUAGAUGUGUAUUCAGGUCUAAAAAAAAAAAAAUCCUUCAAAUGGUAAUUGAAUAAGUUAAAUUUGAGGGGGUAGACUGAGCUACAUGACAGUACAGAAGCUUAGUUUCCCUGUGAAUGUGAAAUAUGUCAGUGUGAGGAUGUGCCAAGUGUAACUUGUUGGAAUCACUAGUAAACAUUCUCAAAAUAAAUGCAGUACAGCUAAAACUUACCCUUGAUUCAUUAAAAAGGCUGUUUUAUGCUUAGGUUGUACAAUUUUCUAAGGCGUAUUUUGGUUGCAGAAUUUUCUAUAUGGGCUGACAAAGCACAAUAAAGAUAGAGAAAAUAAAUUACACUAUUGUUACUUAAAGUACAUGCUAAUAUUUUGCAAGAAGCACUUUUUUUUUUUAAUCAUCUCAUUAACACAUAAUGAGCUUCUUUCAGCUGAGGUGUCUAAUUACUGUCAUAUCCAACAGUCUGGUAAUUGGUGAGAAUGAAGCUAAGAGCCACCAUGGACGUCUCUUGACCGCGUUCGCAUUGCACAGAGAUGGUGGAGUCUCAGAAUGGUCGUUAAUUACAUUUGUGGAGCAUCCCUGAUCAUCUAUUUGAAGCUCCUUUGCUUUUCCUUUCAAGCAAACAAUAGACAAACCAUCAGAAACACUCGUAUGGCUCUUUUUAUGCUAGUUAUCUGUAGGUUUGGGGGCUACAGGCUUGAGAUUUCAUCAGUCAUGGUUUACAAAUCUGAAAAACAGAUAAAUUGUAUUUGUAGAUUCAAAACUUGAUGUUCAGAGCUCAAGCACACACCCUCUCCCAUCGAAGGUUAGUUCCUAACCUUUCCUUCAUGAGCUUCCAUUCGAUUUAGACAAGCCCUCCCCUUCUGCUGUUAAACCAGAGGUCAGGCUAAAAAAUGUUAUUAUGUUAUAAAAAUUUAUGUAUACAUUUGUCUUUUAUAUAUUUCAUGUGUAAAUAAAAAUUUAGAGGCAUGCUCUAAAUCUAUUCAGAGUUUUAGGGAUUUUAAUGUUUUAUACACACAUGUAUUAAAGUAUGUAUAAAAACAUAUAUAAAUUAGCAUAUAUGAUAUACACCAUUUUACAGGGGCCGUUAAAAUAUUUUUAAAAGAGACACUAAAAUGGUUUGUAAAGCAGAAUAUGGGCCUUUGCCUGAUUUUUCACUUAGGGGAACAUGAUACAGAAUUUCUUCAACUCAAGUACAGCGGCCACUUUUUCAUUUCCUUGUCUUUAUUGCACUUGUUGAAGGUUUCCUUAGCAGACUCAGAAAUGAAGGCAAGAGCCAUUUCAGCACCGAUCCUAGUCAACCUUCUAUCUUUUUGAGUACAGCAUUGUCAGGUUUACCACUUUCAUCCAUACCAUCUCCUCUAUCACCUCAGUACAGACCCCCAUAAGGUUGGAGCUUACUCUUAAAAUGGUAGGUAUUUAGUUAAGUACCCUACAAAAAUCUGAUCUAUCUGAUAUAUUCUACAUGUUUA